UUAAGCGACUAAGCGUACACGGUGGAUGCCUAGGCAGUCAGAGGCGAUGAAGGGCGUGCUAAUCUGCGAAAAGCGUCGGUAAGCUGAUAUGAAGCGUUACAACCGACGAUACCCGAAUGGGGAAACCCAGUGCAAUUCGUUGCACUAUUGCAUGGUGAAUACAUAGCCAUGCAAGGCGAACCGGGGGAACUGAAACAUCUAAGUACCCCGAGGAAAAGAAAUCAACCGAGAUUCCCCCAGUAGCGGCGAGCGAACGGGGAAGAGCCCAGAGUCUGAAUCAGUUUGUGUGUUAGUGGAAGCGUCUGGAAAGUCGCACGGUACAGGGUGAUAGUCCCGUACACAAAAGCACACUUGCUGUGAACUCGAUGAGUAGGGCGGGACACGUGACAUCCUGUCUGAAUAUGGGGGGACCAUCCUCCAAGGCUAAAUACUCCUGACUGACCGAUAGUGAACCAGUACCGUGAGGGAAAGGCGAAAAGAACCCCGGCGAGGGGAGUGAAAUAGAACCUGAAACCGUGUACGUACAAGCAGUGGGAGCCUACUUUGUUGGGUGACUGCGUACCUUUUGUAUAAUGGGUCAGCGACUUAUAUUUUGUAGCAAGGUUAACCGAAUAGGGGAGCCGUAGGGAAACCGAGUCUUAACUGGGCGUCUAGUUGCAAGGUAUAGACCCGAAACCCGGUGAUCUAGCCAUGGGCAGGUUGAAGGUUGGGUAACACUAACUGGAGGACCGAACCGACUAAUGUUGAAAAAUUAGCGGAUGACUUGUGGCUGGGGGUGAAAGGCCAAUCAAACCGGGAGAUAGCUGGUUCUCCCCGAAAGCUAUUUAGGUAGCGCCUCGUGAACUCAUCUUCGGGGGUAGAGCACUGUUUCGGCUAGGGGGCCAUCCCGGCUUACCAAACCGAUGCAAACUCCGAAUACCGAAGAAUGUUAUCACGGGAGACACACGGCGGGUGCUAACGUCCGUCGUGAAGAGGGAAACAACCCAGACCGCCAGCUAAGGUCCCAAAGUCAUGGUUAAGUGGGAAACGAUGUGGGAAGGCACAGACAGCCAGGAUGUUGGCUUAGAAGCAGCCAUCAUUUAAAGAAAGCGUAAUAGCUCACUGGUCGAGUCGGCCUGCGCGGAAGAUGUAACGGGGCUAAACCAUGCACCGAAGCUGCGGCAGCGACACUUAGGUGUUGUUGGGUAGGGGAGCGUUCUGUAAGCCGUUGAAGGUGACUUGUGAGGGUUGCUGGAGGUAUCAGAAGUGCGAAUGCUGACAUAAGUAACGAUAAAGCGGGUGAAAAACCCGCUCGCCGGAAGACCAAGGGUUCCUGUCCAACGUUAAUCGGGGCAGGGUGAGUCGACCCCUAAGGCGAGGCUGAAAAGCGUAGUCGAUGGGAAACAGGUUAAUAUUCCUGUACUUGGUGUUACUGCGAAGGGGGGACGGAGAAGGCUAGGCUAGCCGGGCGACGGUUGUCCCGGUUUAAGCAUGUAGGCGGAGCGACUUGGUAAAUCCGGUUGCUUAUCAACGCUGAGGUGUGAUGACGAGUCACUACGGUGAUGAAGUAGUUGAUGCCAAGCUUCCAGGAAAAGCCUCUAAGCAUCAGGUAACAUUAAAUCGUACCCCAAACCGACACAGGUGGUCAGGUAGAGAAUACUCAGGCGCUUGAGAGAACUCGGGUGAAGGAACUAGGCAAAAUGGUGCCGUAACUUCGGGAGAAGGCACGCUGGCAUUAGGUAAUGGGACUUGCUCCCGGCGCCGAAGCCAGUCGCAGAUACCAGCUGGCUGCAACUGUUUAAUAAAAACACAGCACUGUGCAAACACGAAAGUGGACGUAUACGGUGUGACGCCUGCCCGGUGCUGGAAGGUUAAUUGAUGGGGUCAGCCGCAAGGCGAAGCUCUUGAUCGAAGCCCCAGUAAACGGCGGCCGUAACUAUAACGGUCCUAAGGUAGCGAAAUUCCUUGUCGGGUAAGUUCCGACCUGCACGAAUGGCGUAAUGAUGGCCAGGCUGUCUCCACCCGAGACUCAGUGAAAUUGAACUCGCUGUGAAGAUGCAGUGUACCCGCGGCAAGACGGAAAGACCCCGUGAACCUUUACUAUAGCUUGACACUGAACAUUGAGCCUUGAUGUGUAGGAUAGGUGGGAGGCAUUGAAGUGUGGACGCCAGUCUGCAUGGAGCCAACCUUGAAAUACCACCCUUUAAUGUUUGAUGUUCUAACUCGGCCCCAUAAUCUGGGGUGAGGACAGUGUCUGGUGGGUAGUUUGACUGGGGCGGUCUCCUCCCAAAGAGUAACGGAGGAGCACGAAGGUUAGCUAAUCACGGGCGGACAUCGUGAGGUUAGUGCAAAGGCAUAAGCUAGCUUGACUGCGAGAGUGACGGCUCGAGCAGGUACGAAAGUAGGUCUUAGUGAUCCGGUGGUUCUGAAUGGAAGGGCCAUCGCUCAACGGAUAAAAGGUACUCCGGGGAUAACAGGCUGAUACCGCCCAAGAGUUCAUAUCGACGGCGGUGUUUGGCACCUCGAUGUCGGCUCAUCACAUCCUGGGGCUGAAGUAGGUCCCAAGGGUAUGGCUGUUCGCCAUUUAAAGUGGUACGCGAGCUGGGUUUAGAACGUCGUGAGACAGUUCGGUCCCUAUCUGCCGUGGGCGUUGGAAGAUUGAGAGGGGCUGCUCCUAGUACGAGAGGACCGGAGUGGACGAAUCACUGGUGUUCGGGUUGUCAUGCCAAUGGCAUUGCCCGGUAGCUAAAUUCGGAAGAGAUAACCGCUGAAAGCAUCUAAGCGGGAAACUUGCCUCGAGAUGAGUCUUCCCUGGGGCUUUAAGCCCCCUGAAGGAACGUUAAAGACUAUGACGUUGAUAGGCUGGGUGUGUAAGUGCAGCGAUGCAUUGAGCUAACCAGUACUAAUGAUCCGUGAGGCUUAACCUU
rnacentral:rRNA from 1 species